GGAUUAGAUACCCUGGUAGUCCACGCCGUAAACGAUGGACACUAGUUGUUGGGAUUUAUUUCAGCGACUAAGCGAAAGUGAUAAGUGUCCCACCUGGGGAGUACGUUCGCAAGAAUGAAACUCAAAGGAAUUGACGGGGGCCCGCACAAGCGGUGGAGCAUGUGGUUUAAUUCGAUGAUACGCGAGGAACCUUACCAGGGCUUAAAUGUGGUCUGACAGCUUUAGAGAUAGAGUUUUCUUCGGACAGAUCACAAGGUGCUGCAUGGUUGUCGUCAGCUCGUGCCG
rnacentral:rRNA from 1 species